UCCAGACUCCUACGGGAGGCAGCAGUGGGGAAUAUUGCACAAUGGGGGGAACCCUGAUGCAGCGACGCCGCGUGAGUGAAGAAGUAUUUCGGUAUGUAAAGCUCUGUCAGCAGGGAAGAAGAAAGACGGUACCUGACCAAGAAGCCCCGGCUAACUACGUGCCAGCAGCCGCGGUAAUACGUAGGGGGCAAGCGUUAUCCGGAUUUACUGGGUGUAAAGGGAGCGUAGACGGCAGGGCAAGUCUGGAGUGAAAGGCAGGGGCCCAACCCCUGGACUGCUCUGGAAACUGUCCGGCUGGAGUGCAGGAGAGGUAAGUGGAAUUCCUAGUGUAGCGGUGAAAUGCGUAGAUAUUAGGAGGAACACCAGUGGCGAAGGCGACUUUCUGGACUGUACCUGACGCUGAGGCGCGAAAGCGUGGGUAGCGAACGGGAUUAGAUACCCCAGUA
rnacentral:rRNA from 1 species